AGGGUUGCAUUUCCUAUAACUGUAAUGAAUGUAUUCAGUGUUCUUAUCCUGUCUGUGCUCUUCCAGUGGGCUGGUUUAACUGGGAAAUUUCACACACCAGCCAGAGAAGAUACAUCUCAAAACUAUUUCGGAGUAGUUCCAGAAUCGACUCUUUGUUUUCUUGUUUUGUUUUGUUUUUUUUUUUUUUUUUUNNNNNNUUUUUUGUCACAAUCUUACAAUCUUAUACUCUUGCUUUCUGGAAAAUCACGAUAAACAUAAGUGAGCUUUUAUUGUAUGUAUACAACCACCCACAAAAAACCUAAAACAAAAGAAAAUGGAGGAAGUACAAAGAAUUUAACCAAACUUAGAUAAUCCAGAAAUAUUUGGCUCUUAGUUCUUUUUAGCAUCCUCAAUAGCUAUACAUGUACAUGGUACACAGCCACCAUAUCUAACUCCUCACCUGUGUGUGUGCGUGUGUAUUUGUGAUAUAUAUAUAUAUAUAUGGCACAUAAUUUUCUAUGCACAGAUAUUUCCACCCUCAAUAAUAAUGGAUUUUUCAAAGACAUAAAGCUUUAUGAAAAGACACAUAUCAUCUGAUUCAUGAGUACAUUCACUAUCUCAGCUGUUACUCAAUGGUGUUUAAUAAUUUGUGAGUAGCAGGUAAUAAAUCAUUCAGUCUAGAUAGAUGGAGAGGCAAAAUCAGGGACACUAUGGUAUUUCUUUUAGUAAGACACAUGUGAUGAAUGAAGAAUAAACUGAAGACUUGAACUGGAAGGUUGUCGAUGGGAAUGACAAGAAAUGGUUGUGUAUAACACAUGUAGGUAAAUAUCUACCAAAAAUUGGUAGAGAUUGCCAUGUAUGCCUAGAAUCUCAGCACAAGGCCAGCCUCUGUUACAUAGUGAGUUAAAGGCUAGCCUGGGCUACAGGAGAUCCUACAUCAAAGAACCAAAGGAGAAAUUGGUUCAAACUGUUAACAUCUGAAGGGAUAGUUAUAUAAACAGCAGUUUGACUGAUAUAUUGAGUGCUUGAUUCUUUAAUAAAACUACAUGAAUAACAUUGUGGGGGAGGGAAGCAGUAAUGUAGAAGUCUGGAUGGUGGAAGAGUAGUAGAGACAACUUAAAACUCAGUUUUAGACUUUUGUUCUGAGAUGGGUAUAAGAGUGAUCAUUAAAUGAAGAGGGUUAAGACACCAGGAGAAUUAUUUUACGAUAGAACUAAGGCAGUCAAGCUCCACAUGCCUACACUUAGAAGGGGAAAGUAAGGAUCAAAGUAGAAAGCCUAACAAUUAGUCAGAAGAGCAUAUUACAUCAGGCAGCAGAAGCCGAUAGUGGAGAAAAGUUAAACAAGGAGAAAAUAAUUAACCACGUUGGCUUGGGAAAGAGAAGAGAAAAUGGCAAGUCUAAAUGAAUGCAAACUCUUAAAGGGAUUUUCCCAGAGGGUGUGGGCUGAGGACCAGAACAUUUGCAAAAAUGUUGAGAGAUUAAAAUAGAAGAUCCCGAUGACUAAUCUUAGUUUAUUAUUGUAGUUAGACUUUUAUCUUUAGGUUACAGAGCAGAGCUCAGACUCUGGAGACCACCAAGAAUGUAACAGCAGAAUGGAAAUAAGGUCCGACUGGGGAAAGCAGCUUUUUACUCAGGCUGCAGAUGUCCCGUUUUCAAAUAAAGCUCAAAAGCCCUAGGUUUGGGAGAAGAGGAGAGAUGGAUCCUGAGAAUGGAUGGUCAGGGAUGGUAUGGGAGAACUUGGCAAAACCGCACUCUUCUGUCCAGUGUAUAGGAUCUGUGACAGUAUUCUUACAUGCAUUGUCUCAUGUACCCUAUUAAAUGUCUUUACACAAACUUCAAA
ensembl:lincRNA Gm37387 predicted gene, 37387